UCAUAGGAUGUGUGGAGGCUUUGGAUUCCCCACACUGAGCAUGGUCUGUCUGGCUGCACUCCUCAGAGAAGGUGGUGCAUGUCCAUUCACCAUGAGGUCCCUUGCCGCCUUCUGUCAUGUCCUUGUAUGAGGAAUGUGCAACCCUGAAGGAUGUGUAGAAGACAUUGGAGUUGUCCUGCUGUUGAUCGAGACCCCUUGCUGUGCUGCUGUGGUGUGGCAUGGGGAAGAUCCGGGUCUAGAACAUGGGGUACAGUGAGGACCUGAUAACAUGCCUAGUGAAUCCCUCACUGCGCUCUUAGACAGGGUAGGCAAAUCCACAUGCCGUCAAGUACAAGCACAUUCAUCUCAUGGCCCAUGGAAAGAAACAGAAGUAUCCACAUGGGACGGUCUUGAGGGGAAGUUGCCUGGCAGGCCUAUCUUCGCCUGGGCAUAUGUGGUUCCCGAUGACCAGAAGUGUCAUGGAAUCCUGCAAGCCUCAUGUCCUCCCAGUGAUCUCCAGC